rnacentral:rRNA from 1 species
CAGUCGCCACGGGAAUACGUAGGUGGCAAGCGUUGUCCGGAUUUAUUGGGCGUAAAGCGAGCGCAGGCGGUUCCUUAAGUCUGAUGUAAAAGCCCACGGCUCAACCGUGGAAGGUCAUUGGAAACUGGGGAACUUGAGUGCAGAAGAGGAGAGUGGAAUUCCAUGUGUAACGGUGAAAUGCGUAGAUAUAUGGAGGAACACCAGUGGCGAAGGCGACUCUCUGGUCUGUAACUGACGCUGAGGCUCGAAAGCGUGGGGAGCAAACAGGAUUAGAUACCCCUGUAGUCCCUGUCUCUUAUAU